AACUGAUCGAUGGUGCUUGCACCUGAUUGACGUUGGAUCACCAGUGAGUGGCGGACGGGUGAGUAACACGUAGGUAACCUGCCCCGGAGCGGGGGAUAACAUUUGGAAACAGAUGCUAAUACCGCAUAACAACAAAAGCCACAUGACUUUUGUUUGAAAGAUGGCUUUAGCUAUCACUCUGGGAUGGACCUGCGGUGCAUUAACUAGUUGGUAAGGUAACGGCUUACCAAGGCGAUGAUGCAUAGCCGAGUUGAGAGACUGAUCGGCCACAAUGGAACUGAGACACGGUCCAUACUCCUACGGGAGGCAGCAGUAGGGAAUCUUCCACGAUGGGCGCAAGCCUGAUGGAGCAACGCCGCGUGAGUGAAGAAGGGUUUCUGCUCGUGAAGCUCUGUUGUUGGAGAAGAACGUGCGUGAGAGUAACUGUUCACGCAGUGACGGUAUCCAACCAGAAAGACACGGCUUACUACGUGCCAGCAGCCGCGGAAAAACGUAGGUGGCAAGCGUUAUCCGGAUUUAUUGGGCGUAAAGCGAGCGCAGGCGGUUGCAUAGGUCUGAUGUGAAAGCCUUCGGCUUAACCGAAAGAAAUGCAUCUCAAACCGGGCGACUUGAGUGCAUAACAGGACAGUGCAACUCCAUGUGUAGCGGUGGAAUGCGUAUAUAUAUGGAAGAACACCAGUGCCGAAGGGGGCUGUCCGGUCUGCACCUGACGCUGAGGCUCGAAAGCAGGGGAGCGAACAGGAUUAGAUACCCUGGUAGUCCAUGCCGUAAACGAUGAGUGCUAGGUGUUGGAGGGUUUUCGCCCCUCAGGCCGGGAGAUAACGCAUUAAGCACUCCGCCUGGGGAGCACGACCGCAAGGUUGAAACUCAAAGGAAUUGACGGGGGCCCGCACAAGCGGCGGAGCAUGUGGUUUAAUUCGAAGGUACGCGAAGAACCUUACCAGGUCUUGACAUCUUGCGCUAACCUUAGAGAUAAGGCGUUCCCUUCGGGGACGCAAUGACAGGUGGUACAUGGUCGUCGUCAGCUCGUGUCGUGAGAUGUUGGGUUAAGUCCCGCAACGAGCGCAACCCUUGUUACUAGUUGCCAGCAUUAAGUUGGGCACUCUAGUGAGACUGCCGGUGACAAACCGGAGGAAGGUGGGGACGACGUCAGAUCAUCAUGCCCCUUAUGACCUGGGCUACACACGUGCUACAAAGGACGGUACAACGAGUUGCAAACUCGCGAGAGCAAGCUAAUCUCUUAAAGCCGUUCUCAGUUCGGACAGUAGGCUGCAACUCGCCUACACGAAGUCGGAAUCGC
rnacentral:rRNA from 1 species